rnacentral:rRNA from 1 species
UUAAGUCCCGCAACGAGCGCAACCCUCGACCUUAGUUGCCAGCAUUCAGUUGGGCACUCUAAGGUGACUGCCGGCUAAAAGUCGGAGGAAGGUGGGGAUGACGUCAAAUCAUCAUGCCCCUUAUGACCUGGGCUACACACGUGCUACAAUGGGCGGUACAAAGGGUCGCGAACCCGCGAGGGGGAGCCAAUCCCAAAAAGCCGCUCUCAGUUCGGAUUGCAGGCUGCAACUCGCCUGCAUGAAGCCGGAAUCGCUAGUAAUCGCCGGAUCCAGCAUGCCGCGGUCGAAUACGUUCCGGGCCUU